rnacentral:rRNA from 1 species
GACGAACGCUGGCGGCGUGCUUAACACAUGCAAGUCGAACGGCAAGGCCCUGCUUUUGUGGGGUGCUCGAGUGGCGAACGGGUGAGUAACACGUGAGUAACCUGCCCUUGACUUUGGGAUAACUUCAGGAAACGGGGGCUAAUACCGGAUAGGAGCUCCUGCUGCAUGGUGGGGGUUGGAAAGUUUCGGCGGUUGGGGAUGGACGCGCGGCUUAUGAGCUUGUUGGUUGGGUAGUGGCCUACCAGGGCUUUGACGGGUAGCCGGCCUGAGCGGGUGACCGGCCACAUGGGGACUGAGGGACGGACCAGACUCCUACGGGAGGCAGCAGUGGGAAACAUUGCACAAUGGGGGGGAGCCUGAUGCGACAACGCCGCGUGCGGAAUGACCGCCUUCGGGUUGUAAACCGCUUUCGCCUGUGACGAAGCGUGAGUGACGGUAAUGGGUAAAGAAGCACCGGCUAACUACGUG